rnacentral:rRNA from 1 species
AUUGAACGCUGGCGGCAGGCUUAACCCAUGCAAGUCGAACGAGAGGCGGACGGGUGAGUAAUGUAUGGGGAACUGCCCGAUAGAGGGGGAUAAAUACUGGAAACGGUGGCUAAUACCGACUACUAUCGGAUGAACCAAUAUGGGAUUAGCUAGUAGGUGGGGUAAAGGCUAACCAAGUCGACGAUCUCCAGCUGGUCUGCUAGGAUGAUAAGCCUCACUGGUCAUGCGACACGGCCCAGACUCCUACGGUAGGCAGCAGUUGGGAAUAUUGCACAAUUGGCGCAAGCCUGAUGCAGCCAUGCCGCGUGUAUGAAGAAGGCCUUAGGGUUGUAAAGUACUUUCAGCGGGGAGGCGUUACCCGCAGAAGAAGCACCGGCUAACUCCGUGCCAGCAGCCGCGGUAAUUC